GCGGCCGCCGAGCUCUCCCCGCCCGGCCCAGCCCCUCCGCCGCAGCCGCGGGGCAGCCCCGAGCCACGGCCCCGGCUGGCGGGCGGGCUGCGGGCAGGAUCCUGGCGCUCGGGCUCUGGCAAGGGGAAAGGACAGAAACGGCGCAUCGGGAGGGACCCUGCCUCACCGCUUGUAUAUGGCAAAGUUUCUCGCCGAGCUCCUGGGCUGCACGUUGCCGAGCAAGGGCGCCUCUCCCAUGUUUGAGUCUAAAAGUCAUUCCCGAGUUGGCCUGAAAUCAAGCACCAAGCAAAAGACCACCAUUUUCAGCACAUUGGCCAGUGAGAAGUCCUUAUCUGACUGCAAAAAGAUAAUUGAACCAGGGCACAAGGAGACUUUUGUACUUGUUCAGGUCACACAGUAAGUGAUGGAGCCAGGAUUACAACCUGCCCUUCCUUACAACCUGCUCUUCCUUACAACCUCUGACACCAUAUUCUGAAAGAGGAAAGUAUGCCUCAGACUCCUCCCUUUUCAGCAAUG
rnacentral:lncRNA from 1 species